rnacentral:ncRNA from 1 species
AGAAAUGCUUUGAAAAAGAAAAGUAGCUUAAAUGAAAUUUUACAGAGAGAAAACUGUGUGCUGAGAAGUUUUUUAAUGGAGUUUAAGUGAAGUGCUCUUUGGAGUUAUGGGCCGAAUUGACAGUAGGUUACAUCGGGAUCACCCGUUAUAGUGAUAGAACAUAGCGCUGUGUUCGAUUAUGAGUGGGUUCUUUAUGGGAACCAAAAAGAGUGGAACCACGGAGCAUAAACUUCGUCUCUAUA